rnacentral:tRNA from 1 species
GAUUUUGUGGCCCAAUGGAUAAGGCGUUGGUCUACGGAACCAAAAAUUGUGGGUUCGAUUUCCUGCAAAGGUUA